rnacentral:tRNA from 18 species
GGACGUAUAGCUCAGUUGGUUAGAGCACUACCUUGACAUGGUAGGGGUCACAGGUUCGAGUCCUGUUACGUCCA